GGCAAGGUGGCCGAGUUGGUCCAAGGCGCCACGUUAGGGUCUACCUUUAAUCCUCUUCUCUCUGAGAAUCCGUGGUCUCGAAAGGGGGCGUGAGUUUGAAUCUCACCCUUGUCA